rnacentral:misc_RNA from 1 species
AACGGUCUAUACCUGCGGUACCUGCGGAAGGAUCAUUAAUGAGAAGCUGCCCCUCGUGGGUAGACCUCCCACCCUCUGUGAACUUACCUUUGUUGCUUUGGCAGGCCCGUCCUCUGGACCGCCGGCUUCGGCUGGCCCGUGCCUGCCAGAGGAUUCCAAACCCUGUCUGUCAGUGUUGUCUGAGUCUAUAUGAAAUCGUUAAAACUUUCAGCAAUGGAUCUCUAGAUCGGAAGAGCACAC